rnacentral:rRNA from 1 species
ACGGAGGAUCCGAGCGUUAUCCGGAUUUAUUGGGUUUAAAGGGUGCGUAGGCGGUAGGAUAAGUCAGCGAGUGAAAUACUGCAGCUUAACUGUAGUUGUGCCGUUGAAACUGUUUUACUUGAGUUAUCCUGAGGUAGGCGGAAUGUGUAGUGUAGCGGUGAAGUGCUUAGAUAUUACACAGAACACCGAUUGCGAAGGCAGCUUACUAAGGGUCGACUGACGCUGAGGCACGAAAGCGUGGGGAUCGAAC